UUGAUAGAAGCCAAAUAGAGGCGUAUCUCUGUUAAUGAUAUAAUUGGAUUCUGUUCCUAUCAAG
rnacentral:tRNA from 1 species